AUGUAUACAUAACUAUUUUUUAGAACCUGAGAAAAAGAAAAUCAUUACAAAAAUCAAAAUAUAUCCCUGUCCAAAAAGAGCAGAACGGAGAGAGAUUUGGGAAAGAAAGCGACGUUUUGUACUAGAUAGUCAGCUCGUGUUAUUUCUUCAGUCAUGGAUGUUUAUUGCAAGCUACAUGGCUUUGCUGGCAAUUAUAUCUAGCCACAACAAUAUCACAGAUUCCUUUUGUCAAAAUCAACAAAUAAAAACAGCUAUUAAUUCUUCUUUUAAGGCUAAUACAACGGAAGAUAUAUUCUAUUGGUUAGAUAAAUUCUUUGUACCCGCCAUGUGGCCAAAGUAUUUAUUAAAUGGAAGUGUGAAAAAAAACUACGAUCAACGAUUUAUGAUGGACGAAUAUAGUUACAGAGUAUCACUUACACAGAUGAGACAAGUUCGAAGAAUGGACAAAUGCAGUCAGAAUAUACCUGGAUUGAUAGGUCCAGUAGAAUCACUGUGUUCAUCUGAACUCUACAGCCUUGAGGAAACGACGGCUAAUUUUUG